rnacentral:rRNA from 1 species
UACGGCAGCCAUAUCACCCUGUAGCCCAAGCCUGGUUGCCCACUGAAGCUAAGCAGGGCUGAGCCUGGUCAGUACCUGGAUGGGAGACCUCCUGGGAAAACUUGCUGCUGGAA